rnacentral:rRNA from 1 species
UCCGUAGGUGAACCUGCGGAAGGAUCAUUAAUGAAUUUUAGGACGUUCUUUUUAGAAGUCCGACCCUUUCAUUUUCUUACACUGUGCACACACUUCUUUUUUACACACACUUUUAACACAUUAGUAUAAGAAUGUAAUAGUCUCUUAACUGAGCAUAAACAAAAUUAAAACUUUCAGCAACGGAUCUCUUGGCUCUCGCAUCGAUGAAGAACGCAGCGAAUUGCGAUAAGUAAUGUGAAUUGCAGAAUUCAGUGAAUCAUCGAAUCUUUGAACGCACCUUGCACUCUUUGGUAUUCCGAAGAGUAUGUCUGUUUGAGUGUCAUGAAACUCUCAACCCCCUUAUUUUGUAAUGAAAUGAGCGUGGGCUUGGAUUAUGGUUGUCUGUCGGCGUAAUUGCCGGCUCAACUGAAAUACACGAGCAACCCUAUUGAAAUAGACGGUUUGACUUGGCGUAAUAAUUAUUUCGCUAAGGACGUCUUCUUCAAAUAUAAGAGGUGCUUCUAAUUCGCUAUUAAAGCAACUUAAGCUUUAGACCUCAAAUCAGUCAGGGACUACCGGCUGGAACUUAAGGCAUAUCAAUAAGGCGGGAGGGAAGUCGACUGGCCAA